AUUGAACGCUGGCGGCAGGCUUAACACAUGCAAGUCGAGCGGGGUGAUGGUGCUUGCACUAUCACUUAGCGGCGGACGGGUGAGUAAUGCUUAGGAAUCUGCCAAUUAGUGGGGGACAACAUCUCGAAAGGGAUGCUAAUACCGCAUACGUCCUACGGGAGAAAGCAGGGGAUCACUUGUGACCUUGCGCUAAUAGAUGAGCCUAAGUCGGAUUAGCUAGUUGGUGGGGUAAAGGCCUACCAAGGCGACGAUCUGUAGCGGGUCUGAGAGGAUGAUCCGCCACACUGGGCCUGAGACACGGCCCAGACUCCUACGGGAGGCAGCAGUGGGGAAUAUUGGACAAUGGGGGGAACCCUGAUCCAGCCAUGCCGCGUGUGUGAAGAAGGCCUUAUGGUUGUAAAGCACUUUAAGCGAGGAGGAGGCUCUUUUGGUUAAUACCCAAGAUGAGUGGACGUUACUCGCAGAAUAAGCACCGGCUAACUCUGUGCCAGCAGCCGCCGUAA
rnacentral:rRNA from 1 species